rnacentral:misc_RNA from 1 species
GAUGAAGAACGUAGUGAAAUGCGAUAAGUAGUGUGAAUUGCAGAAUUCAGUGAAUCAUCGAAUCUUUGAACGCACAUUGCGCCCCUUGGUAUUCCAUGGGGCAUGCCUGUUCGAGCGUCAUUUGUACCCUCCAGCCCUGCUGGGUGUUGGGCGUUUUGUUCCGCCGCGCGCGUGAACUCGCCUCAAAUGCAUUGGCAGCCAGCCGUCCCGCGUGGGAGCGCAGCACAUUUUGCGCUCUCCGCUGGGUGCGACGGCGUCCACAAGCCUAUACCUUUACGCUUGACCUCGGAUCAGGUAGGGAUACCCGCUGAACUUAAGCAUAUCAAUACGGAGGA